GUAAGUGUUACGAGCGUGGUCCUUAAUAUUAAUAUUUCCCGCGUUUUGGUUCGAUUUCUCUCGCAACAAAGAAUCAGUGUGAGUCAGUUACGUUUAUAUAACUAUUUAUUUCUUUAACUUGCUAUAUUAAAGUAGCGUCUUUAUAAUACUAUAUCCAAUUACUAUAUAAUUAAAACUAUAUCAGUUCAACUUAUCUCUUUUCUGUCUGACUGAGCACAACUCUUUCGUCCUCUUCACGUAACGUCGCUUUUUAACUUCAAUACUCUUUCGUAUAUAACUUGUAACAAUAUUUCCUUAACAAUCUUCUUUAUAAUAAUUUUCCAAAAUGAUAUUCACGUAAGGCGCUGAGGCCUAUGAAUAAUGUAACUGAGGCGCUGAGGCCUAUUGAAUGAAGUAAGGCACGGAGGCCUAU